rnacentral:misc_RNA from 1 species
GACAAGAUUUCUGUGUUGGAGUUUUGAUAUCAACCGCACUUCAUUCUUGAAUUCCUGUAUCCCUUGUCCUGACUGUUUAGAUAAUCUUUUCACUGCUAUUUCUUGUCCAUUUGAUAGUUGACCCUGAAAGUGCAUUUUUAGACUUAUUGCACAGACGUGCUACCAUGGCCGCAUAUAUCACACUACAGUACUAAAAUUGUGACUUGCCAAAUAUUCACAUUAAAUUUUAUGAAGGAGUUGACAAUUUUACUUUUCAUGGGAUACUACCUUAUACACUGAGCCAAAACCACCUUCUCCAAGUUUGUUGGAAAAAUUGUCAGUUGCUUCAACUAUUGUGUCUAUAUCGAAGAAAGGUAAAUGUGGAUCACUUCCAGAUCUGUCAAGCUCCUUUUCCCUUGGUGGAUCAUCUGGGUGAGCACUAGAACUAUAGAUAAACAUUUGAGGUUGUGCAUUUUGUGAUAAUCUCCGUCGCCUCCUCACCAACCAGUGUGAGAAAAGAAGAACAGAGGAAACUGCUGCAGCUAUGGACAAUAUCACAAUUAGCAAUAUCCAUUUCUUUGCAAGAAGGUGCUUCUGCUUGUUUGCAUUUUGAGCUGAAAAGGGAAGAUAAGAAAAAGAAACACUCCAACUAUUUAUAUGAUAAUUAACCAGUCAUCUAGAGUUAGCAGAAGAGUAGAUUUAAACACAUAAUCAACAAAGCAUAUAAAAGGAUAAAUAGGAAAAAAGAACCCGAAUUUGUACUGAUAAUUUGCUUGAAGAUACCUAACUCAAGUGCAUCCACACGCAUAUAUAAACUUUGCCCGUCUUCUAUAAAUACUCUUGUAUCUAGCAAAUCACCAUACCAUGUCAAGCAUCCACUUCCUUCUGUCACACCUAGACUUGCAUAUGCAGUGCAUGAACAAUUCCUCAGGCACUCAUCUUUACAAGCUUUCAAAUCCAAAUUUGCCAAUACACGGGC